AGAGUUUGAUCCUGGCUCAGGACGAACGCUGGCGGCGUGCCUAAUACAUGCAAGUCGAGCGGACAGAUGGGAGCUUGCUCCCUGAUGUCAGCGGCGGACGGGUGAGUAACACGUGGGUAACCUGCCUGUAAGACUGGGAUAACUCCGGGAAACCGGGGCUAAUACCGGAUGCUUGUUUGAACCGCAUGGUUCAAACAUAAAAGGUGGCUUCGGCUACCACUUACAGAUGGACCCGCGGCGCAUUAGCUAGUUGGUGAGGUAACGGCUCACCAAGGCAACGAUGCGUAGCCGACCUGAGAGGGUGAUCGGCCACACUGGGACUGAGACACGGCCCAGACUCCUACGGGAGGCAGCAGUAGGGAAUCUUCCGCAAUGGACGAAAGUCUGACGGAGCAACGCCGCGUGAGUGAUGAAGGUUUUCGGAUCGUAAAGCUCUGUUGUUAGGGAAGAACAAGUGCCGUUCGAAUAGGGCGGCACCUUGACGGUACCUAACCAGAAAGCCACGGCUAACUACGUGCCAGCAGCCGCGGUAAUACGUAGGUGGCAAGCGUUGUCCGGAAUUAUUGGGCGUAAAGGGCUCGCAGGCGGUUUCUUAAGUCUGAUGUGAAAGCCACCGGCUCAACCGGGGAGGGUCAUUGGAAACUGGGGAACUUGAGUGCAGAAGAGGAGAGUGGAAUUCCACGUGUAGCGGUGAAAUGCGUAGAGAUGUGGAGGAACACCAGUGGCGAAGGCGACUCUCUGGUCUGUAACUGACGCUGAGGAGCGAAAGCGUGGGGAGCGAACAGGAUUAGAUACCCUGGUAGUCCACGCCGUAAACGAUGAGUGCUAAGUGUUAGGGGGUUUCCGCCCCUUAGUGCUGCAGCUAACGCAUUAAGCACUCCGCCUGGGGAGUACGGUCGCAAGACUGAAACUCAAAGGAAUUGACGGGGGCCCGCACAAGCGGUGGAGCAUGUGGUUUAAUUCGAAGCAACGCGAAGAACCUUACCAGGUCUUGACAUCCUCUGACAAUCCUAGAGAUAGGACGUCCCCUUCGGGGGCAGAGUGACAGGUGGUGCAUGGUUGUCGUCAGCUCGUGUCGUGAGAUGUUGGGUUAAGUCCCGCAACGAGCGCAACCCUUGAUCUUAGUUGCCAGCAUUCAGUUGGGCACUCUAAGGUGACUGCCGGUGACAAACCGGAGGAAGGUGGGGAUGACGUCAAAUCAUCAUGCCCCUUAUGACCUGGGCUACACACGUGCUACAAUGGACAGAACAAAGGGCAGCGAAACCGCGAGGUUAAGCCAAUCCCACAAAUCUGUUCUCAGUUCGGAUCGCAGUCUGCAAC
rnacentral:rRNA from 1 species